GUAGUAUCUUCUGCUCAGUGAAAUUUAAAUAGCCGCAGUACUCUGACUGUGCAAAGGUAGCAUAAUCAUUUGACUUAUAAUUGAAGUCUUGGAUGAAAGGAAAUAUGGGGGAUAACUAUAUAAUGUGUGGAAUUAGAAAUUACUUAUCAGGUGCAAAUACCUAUAACUAAUCAUUGGACGAGAAGACCCUAGAAAUUUGGAGUAGAAAGCUGUUUACUUUGUUUUUGUUGGGGCAACAAUAGAGCAGGAUAAACCUCUAUUAGUCACGGGAAAAAUUUUUUUUGUUAGAUUAAAUUACUCUAGGGAUAACAGCGUAAUCUAUAAAUGUUUGCGACCUCGAUGUUGGAUUAGGAAUGUACAUUUUAGAAGAUAGUGCAUAAGCUCUGUUCGAGCU
rnacentral:rRNA from 1 species